AGGCUGUGAUGACCGAUAACAUUUCUCGAUCCUGAUAACGACCAAAGCAAGUUGUUUGCUCUGUGAUGACAGUGUUUGUGCGUGUCUGAGCCUA
rfam:Vigna radiata var. radiata cultivar VC1973A chromosome 11, whole genome shotgun sequence